CAAUGUGAAUGCCCACAUGGAAAAUGCAAGUGCAAGUGUGUAUAGUUGUGGCGAAUUUUCAUCAAGGUCAUGAAAAUCUGGUCCUCAAGGAUGAUUUCUUUGGAUCUACAUCAAACAAAGUACGUAAUGGAAUCCUCAAAAUGAGCAACAUAUUCAUACACAGAACUGAAAGUAUCUCUAUCUGGCAAUCCUGUCUCUAUCCGAAUCACACUUUCACUCAUCUGACGGCUGAAUACCAGUCAUGACAGUUACUCGUUCGCUCUUGGAGUUUGUCUUUGAGAAACUGAAUCUCUGCUAUGGAAUGCUCUAACUCAAUCUCAAGCUGGAUUCUUCGUCCAGAUUGCAGCUCUUCUUUAGUUGUGCUACUAUUUGGUUGUUCCUCAGAAUUGAUAGUGAGGGUUUGCCGGAGAUGGUUCAUCAUCUUUGUCAGCCAUAAAUUGUGUAGCCAUUUCCUCCAUGGGUGGUGGAACAUUUUUAGGCACAUCAGCCCUAUCCUGUCUCAGGGAGUAUGAAUGAUCUUCCAAAAUAUGUCCAGUGGGAACAUCAUUUGUGAAUAAAAACAAAACAGGGAAAUUUUAUCCCCUGCAGGAAAAUGACAGCUGCAGAUGCGAAAAUGGUUACUGGUCUUCCGGUCAGCUCGUCUAAGGAUAAAUUCAAAAUAAGCAAUGUUAGUUUUAUGGAAGUUACACCUUUACAAUUUAAAACUACAAAAAUCACACAAUAAAAUAUUUGUAUUAAAUUAGAAUGGAGUUUUCAGCAUUUACAUUAAUCUUUUUCAUUGAUCCGUCCAUGUUUAUAUAGCACAUUAAAUAUAGUUAACAUUGACUACUAAAAUAAUAAAGAUUAAUAUAAUUUUUACCGAAUGCCUAACUAAUGCGGUUUACAAAUACAAUCAUAUUAUUAUUAAUAGGUAAAGCCAAGUUCACAAAUAUCAGGAUGCAGGACCACCCUAUCUAUAAUUAUAUCCAAACAAGUUACAAUAAAAGUCAAUAAACCAGGUAUUAUUUUGAAUAUUUUAAUUAACGCAUUUCUCGAUGUAACGUUAGCCUUUAAUAAAACUGACAGUCGAAGUAUCAUUAGCCUGUUAAGCAUUGUUUUUGUAUAUAUUUUUUGCUUUGUUUUUAUUUUGUGCAGGACAUUUUUAGAUGUAAAUUAUGUCAUUGUUUAUUUUAAUGUGUUCUUUUCCCUGGUGGCACAAUAUUUUUCUUUUGUGAAUAAUAAAAAAUACAUUUCUUCAUCUAACCCUGUCUUUUGUACACCAAAUUUAUACAUUAUAGACUUGUGGAGGCGCAAUGAUGACUGUUACUGUGAUUUAGCUGUCAUUACUUACUUUACAAAGUCAUUUGGGUUAAAAAUAAAGCCAAAUAUUAUGUUUGUUACACAAUUUAGACUUAAACUUUUUAAAAAAAUGCAAGAAUGCUUUCCUCAAAUUGCAGUCACUCUAAUGUAGCAACAAUAAGGACUAUAACACGAACAAAAAUCAAUGUGAAUUUUAACUUUUUAUUAAAAAACAUAAACAAUUCACACUCAUAGCUUAUCUAGAGCUUCAUCCGUUUCUUAAUAGCCGCUAUAAUGUCCGUGAGAUGCUGGAUAUCUAUGUCUGAUGUCCUGAACAACGAACACAGGCAGGUAAAACAAGUCGAUGUCCUGUCCACAGUCUUUCGCCUUGCAAAACUAAAUAACUUUUUCCUACUGGGCUAUUUUUUCACACCUUGUCAUAAUGAUAAGAUUGCCUCUCAAUUUUCCAAAAAUAUUAAAAGGCAAAGCUACCACACACUUGGGGUCUAUUUGAGUAGUCUAUAGGCUUAAGCGAGAGGCACCAUCUCCCACUGGACAUUUAUCAAGAGGUGUCGCAGUUUCACAACUAACUGAACAACAAACCAUGGUACGAUUUGAUUAGUCUCCCUUGCCAGCUUGGUAAUAUUUUAGUGGGACAUGUUAUGGAGACGAUGUUAAUGUUAACUGUUCAUUGUGUGUAUACCUGGUAAUUAUCACAAAAUGUCCCCACAAGAUAGGAAUACCAGUAAAUUUUUGAUGUUGUGGGGACAUUUUGAGGUCCCCAUGAGGAAACAAGCUUAUAAAUCAAAUGAAUGAUGUUUAUUGAAAUCUGAAGGAGCAGAAAGUUUUCCGUGAUGGUUGGGGUUAGGGGAAAAAAUAUACAGUUUGUACAUUAAAAAAACAUUACGUCUAUGUAAUGUCCUCACAAAACAUGGAAACCAGAAUGUGUGCGCCCGCGUGUGUCAGUGUAACUCCAAAAAUUUGAAAUAAAUUUUCAAUUUAGGUGAAAAUCUUAACAGGAGAUAAGACGAAGACAAGUUGAGACACUGGAGGCAGACAGAAAAAGAGUGAGUGUGUGUUUUAGUUGUGGAGUAUGAUUGGGUUUUUGUGUCUACUUACAUAUCUGAAUUUAUUAUUCAAGAUUAUACUUGAAAGACGGCAGUUAAUUGAAGUGAUGCCAGAGCCACAAGAUGGUGUCGUUAUUCAAAUAAAAUACCCUGAUGGAAACAUUAGGAGAAGGAAAUUCCAUCUCUCUCAGCCUUUUCAGGAUCUGGUUGCAUUUGGGGGGUGUGAGGACAGUGCUACUAUGGUCUUUUCACUUCAGUCAGCUUUAUCAUCUCAUCACCUGCAGAGCACUCUUACAGGCAGUAUUUUGGACAAAGGGAUUGAUGGAGCCUGUACUUUGUACGUUUUGUGAUUCUCAACAGAAGAGGUUGAGGCAGUACUUUCCUCCAGACCGCCACCUCCUCCACCAGCGACCCCAGAGGUCAGCGCCUCCGCCACCGCCGAGGCCGCCGCCACCUCCACCACCGUGGUCGCU